AGAUAGUCCCGGGAAACCGGGUAAAGGUCGGAUUCUUUCCGGAGAGUCCCGCUCCUUCAGGUGAACGAUCUCGGUUGUUUCUCUGAAGGCAUGAUCACCCCGUCCGAUGCGGAAGUUCGUGCUUCCGUCGAACGCGAAAGUCGGACGGCGGCCAUGAGUCGCAACGCAAAGCCGCGGCAAGUGGAGUUAGCGAGAAGAGACUAGGCUUUGGUUUCUUCAAGUGAAGCGGUCACCAAUCAGGUGUGGUAGUUACCGUAAAAAAUCCGGAUUGAUUCGAGGCCCCGAGCGCCGACAUGGGCGCAGAGACCAGUACUCUUCGGAGUACAGGUUUCAAACGAGGCCUUGAGUGAGAUCGUGAAAGUUCGCCGUCGGGCGAAUGGAAGCGAAAAGUCGACCCCAAGCUGAAAAGCGAAGGGUCGAGUUGUUAAAAAAUGACCUGAGAGCAUGAGGCGAGACCCGUAGCGCAGGGCAAAACUUCCACGGGCAACCAUGAGAUCGGCUCUGUAAAAAAGGAGAGGGAGUUCAUGAACAGCAACCCCCACUUCCAGUGGAUCGAAGGCACGCCGCGAGGCGCCCCGACGAUUCGCCGAGAAGCCUCAGCUCGAAAUCAUCAGGAGUGAUCCAGAUGACGGUCCUGCCAUGAGACCGCAACGAGAGCAUGUCGCAUCGAAUGGACUCGGGGAGUCGGCAGCUUGCCCCACGGAUGAGCGCCUAAUGCCGGCAUUCGGGAACGAGCGCGUGGCGAACGCC
rnacentral:ncRNA from 1 species